rnacentral:rRNA from 1 species
GGAAGGGAUGUAUUAUUAGAUUAAAAGCCAACGCCCUUUCGGGGCUCUCUGGUGAUUCAUAAUAACUGGUCGAAUCGCAUGGCCUUGCGCCGGCGAUGGUUCAUUCAAAUUUCUUCCCUAUCAACUUUCGAUGCGAGGGUCUUGUCCUCGCAUGGUUGCAACGGGUAACGGAGGGUUAGGGCUCUUCCCCGGAGAAGGAGCCUGAGAAACGGCUACUACAUCCAAGGAAGGCAGCAGGCGCGCAAAUUACCCAAUCCCGACACGGGGAGGUAGUGACAAUAAAUACUCCUACAGGGCUCUUUUGGGUCUUGUAAUCGGAAUGAGUACAAUUUAAAUCCCUUAACGAGGAACAAUUGGAGGGCAAGUCUGGUGCCAGCUACCGCGGUAAUUCCAGCUAAAAUAGCGUAUAUUAAAGUUGUUGUGGUUAAAAAGCUCGUAGUCGAACCUUGGGCCUGGCUGGCCGGUCCCCCUCACCGGGUGCACUGAUCCAGCCGGGCCUUUCCCUCUGUGGAACCCCAUGGCCUUCACUGGCUGUGCGGGGGAAACAGGACUUUUAC